rnacentral:rRNA from 1 species
UACGGAGGGUGCGAGCGUUGUCCGGAAUCACUGGGCGUAAAGGGCGCGUAGGCGGCUUCUCAAGCGUGUGGUGAAAGUCCGGGGCUCAACCCCGGAUCGGCCGUGCGGACUGGGGAGCUCGAGUUCUGUAGAGGCGGGUGGAAUUCCGGGUGUAGUGGUGGAAUGCGUAGAGAUCCGGAAGAACACCGAUGGCGAAGGCGGCCCGCUGGGCAGAGACUGACGCUGAGGCGCGACAGCGUGGGGAGCAAACAGG